rnacentral:lncRNA from 1 species
UCCCUUCUUAUAAUAAAGUGUGUAUGAUACCUUUCGUUUAUUUCCUCUUAAUUUUCUAUUUAUUUCUGUUUAUUUACUUAUUUUUACUCUUUCUCUGUUCCCCCACAGGCAUGCCGGCACCUGGGGCCCAUCCACUCCAGUUCUCCACAUCAAUUGACCACCCUGCGGACAUGCUAGUGGACUACGUAUCUACGCCAAGGACGUCGUCCCCUACCAACCUCUCGGCGUCCCUCUUGAAGACGACAUUACCGACGUACACGCCAUCACAAUCAUACUAAAAGAGCGACCUUGCCAGGGAGAGACACAAAAUCCCAGCUGGACCAACCUUUAUAAACCCAGCUGACUCCAGACUGCGCAUGCAAGUAACCUCUGUCUCCGAACACCUUCCCCUCACCUACGUAUGAUUCGGACACGGUUGAGUGGCAUUCCAUUCCUGGCCGUAGUCAGCUGAGCGGGCGAGAGUCUCCACCCCGCAACUGAACAACGACCUGCACUCAUCCGUCCUUUAUACUGACUUCUCCCGCCCUUCCACAGUCUCUCAGCUACU